rnacentral:lncRNA from 1 species
UGUUGUUCUGGCCACCAUUGUCGUUUGCUGCUUCAGAGCUUGAUGAAUCGGAAGAAGCUUGAUUGAUGUCAGCGUUGGCAGCAGAAUCAUUUGUGUUUGAGGGUGUUGUUGAUUGCUCUUGGGAUUGCGAAGAAGAAUCAACUUGUUCCUUUUUCUCUGCAUCGACAGAAGUUUCACUUGCUGGCAAUGUUUCACUGGAAG